ACAAAGGACGACAUUAGACGAAUCAUCUGGAAAGAUGAAUCAAAGAAGGUAAUAAUCCUGUAGUUGAAAAUGUUGUCUCUCUUGAGUGGAUCCUGAGUACGACGGAGCACGUGAAAUUCCGUCGGAAUCUGGGAGGACCAUCUCCUAAGGCUAAAUACUCUCUAGUGACCGAUAGUGAACCAGUACCGUGAGGGAAAGGUGAAAAGCACCCCGGAAGGGGAGGGAAAUAGAACCUGAAACCGUGUGCUUACAAGUAGUCAGAGCCCGUUAAUGGGUGAUGGCGUGCCUUUUGUAGAAUGAACCGGCGAGUUACGAUUUGAUGCAAGGUUAAGCAGUAAAUGUGGAGCCGUAGCGAAAGCGAGUCUGAAUAGGGCGUUGAGUAUUUGGUCGUAGACCCGAAACCAGGUGAUCUACCCUUGGUCAGGUUGAAGUUCAGGUAACACUGAAUGGAGGACCGAACCGACUUACGUUGAAAAGUGAGCGGAUGAACUGAGGGUAGCGGAGAAAUUCCAAUCGAACUUGGAGAUAGCUGGUUCUCUCCGAAAUAGCUUUAGGGCUAGCCUCAAGUGAUGAUUAUUGGAGGUAGAGCACUGUUUGGACGAGGGGCCCCUCUCGGGUUACCGAAUUCAGACAAACUCCGAAUGCCAAUUAAUUUAACUUGGGAGUCAGAACAUGGGUGAUAAGGUCCGUGUUCGAAAGGGAAACAGCCCAGACCACCAGCUAAGGUCCCAAAAUAUAUGUUAAGUGGAAAAGGAUGUGGCGUUGCCCAGACAACUAGGAUGUUGGCUUAGAAGCAGCCAUCAUUUAAAGAGUGCGUAAUAGCUCACUAGUCGAGUGACACUGCGCCGAAAAUGUACCGGGGCUAAACAUAUUACCGAAGCUGUGGAUUGUCCUUUGGACAAUGGUAGGAGAGCGUUCUAAGGGCGUUGAAGCAUGAUCGCAAGGACAUGUGGAGCGCUUAGAAGUGAGAAUGCCGGUGUGAGUAGCGAAAGACGGGUGAGAAUCCCGUCCACCGAUUGACUAAGGUUUCCAGAGGAAGGCUCGUCCGCUCUGGGUUAGUCGGGUCCUAAGCUGAGGCCGACAGGCGUAGGCGAUGGAUAACAGGUUGAUAUUCCUGUACCACCUAGUAUCGUUUUAAUCGAUGGGGGGACGCAGUAGGAUAGGCGAAGCGUACGAUUGGAUUGUACGUCUAAGCAGUGAGACUGAGUGUUAGGCAAAUCCGGCACUCAUAAGGUCAAGCUGUGAUGGGGAGAGGAAAUUGUUUCCUCGAGUCGUUGAUUUCACACUGCCAAGAAAAGCCUCUAGAUAGAUAACAGGUGCCCGUACCGCAAACCGACACAGGUAGUCAAGAUGAGAAUUCUAAGGUGAGCGAGCGAACUCUCGUUAAGGAACUCGGCAAAAUGACCCCGUAACUUCGGGAGAAGGGGUGCUCUUUAGGGUGCAAGCCCAGAAGAGCCGCAGUGAAUAGGCCCAAGCGACUGUUUAUCAAAAACACAGGUCUCUGCUAAACCGUAAGGUGAUGUAUAGGGGCUGACGCCUGCCCGGUGCUGGAAGGUUAAGAGGAGUGGUUAGCUUCUGCGAAGCUACGAAUCGAAGCCCCAGUAAACGGCGGCCGUAACUAUAACGGUCCUAAGGUAGCGAAAUUCCUUGUCGGGUAAGUUCCGACCCGCACGAAAGGCGUAACGAUUUGGGCACUGUCUCAACGAGAGACUCGGUGAAAUCAUAGUACCUGUGAAGAUGCAGGUUACCCGCGACAGGACGGAAAGACCCCGUGGAGCUUUACUGUAGCCUGAUAUUGAAAUUCGGCACAGCUUGUACAGGAUAGGUAGGAGCCAUUGAAACGUGAGCGCUAGCUUACGUGGAGGCGCUGGUGGGAUACUACCCUAGCUGUGUUGGCUUUCUAACCCGCACCACUUAUCGUGGUGGGAGACAGUGUCAGGCGGGCAGUUUGACUGGGGCGGUCGCCUCCUAAAAGGUAACGGAGGCGCUCAAAGGUUCCCUCAGAAUGGUUGGAAAUCAUUCAUAGAGUGUAAAGGCAUAAGGGAGCUUGACUGCGAGACCUACAAGUCGAGCAGGGUCGAAAGACGGACUUAGUGAUCCGGUGGUUCCGCAUGGAAGGGCCAUCGCUCAACGGAUAAAAGCUACCCCGGGGAUAACAGGCUUAUCUCCCCCAAGAGUUCACAUCGACGGGGAGGUUUGGCACCUCGAUGUCGGCUCAUCGCAUCCU
rnacentral:rRNA from 1 species